rnacentral:rRNA from 1 species
AACACGACUCUCGGCAACGGAUAUCUCGGCUCUCGCAUCGAUGAAGAACGUAGCAAAAUGCGAUACCUGGUGUGAAUUGCAGAAUCCCGCGAACCAUCGAGUUUUUGAACGCAAGUUGCGCCCGAGGCCUCUCGGCCGAGGGCACACCUGCCUGGGCGUCACGC